UACACACCGCCCGUCACACCACGAAAGUUGGUCACACCAGAAAUGGCUGCGUUAACCCGCAAGGGAGACAGGCUCUUAAGGUGAGACCAGUAAUUGGGGUG
rnacentral:rRNA from 1 species